rnacentral:rRNA from 1 species
AGGGCUUGACAUAUACAGGAAUGUUGUAGAGAUACAGCAGCCGCUUGCGGUCUGUAUACAGGUGCUGCAUGGCUGUCGUCAGCUCGUGCUGUGAAGUGUUGGGUAAGUCCCGCAACGAGCGCAACCCCUAUCAUCUGUUGCCAGCAUUUAAGGUGGGGACUCAGAUGAGACUGCCGGUGCAAACCGGAGGAAGGUGGGGACGACGUCAAGUCAUCAUGGCCCUUAUGUCCUGGGCUACACACGUGCUACAAUGGCCGGUACAGAGUGAAGCGAAACCGCGAGGUGAAGCAAAACGCAGAAAGCCGGUCUCAGUACGGAUUGGAGUCUGAAACUCGACUUCAUGAAGUUGGAAUCGCUAGUAAUCGCGCAUCAGCAUGGCGCGGUGAAUACGUUCCCGGGCCUU